UACGGAGGGAGCUAGCGUUGUUCGGAAUUACUGGGCGUAAAGCGCGCGUAGGCGGCUUUGUAAGUUAGAGGUGAAAGCCCGGGGCUCAACCCCGGAACAGCCUUUAAGACUGCAUCGCUAGAAUCCGGGAGAGGUGAGUGGAAUUCCGAGUGUAGAGGUGAAAUUCGUAGAUAUUCGGAAGAACACCAGUGGCGAAGGCGGCUCACUGGACCGGUAUUGACGCUGAGGAGCGAAAGCGUGGGGAGCGAACAGG
rnacentral:rRNA from 1 species